AUGUGGAUGUUUAAAUUUCUUCCCCUCUCCCACACCAGCCUUUGGCUCAGUGUAAGCCAGUGAAUGUGAGGCACAUUUCCGGCCUUACGUCCUCUUCAUACUACAUAUUUCCAUCUCAGGCCCCUCAUCAUAUUUGGGAGAAAAUUGAAGGAGGAGUUGGAAGAACUGGUUUGAAAGUUUUAAUGAUACCAUUUUUUAAAACAAACUCUCACUGAGUGUCAGGUUUGGGACCAGAUGCAAGGAAAGCAGAGGGGGAAUAAUGCAUAUUUACUGGUUAAACAGAGGUUGGAUUCAUGAAGGAUACUGGAAGCAUAGAUCAUCUGCUAAAUCACACUACUUCCUGGAAGAAGUCUUGCUGCCUCCUGUCUCUCCAGCAUAGUGCUUUCCACAGAGUAGACGCUGAAUACAUAUGCAAUGUUUGGAUGGAAGAACAAUGAGUAGAAGCAUGGGGAGCUUGGUUGCUGACCUAGACACAACAGGUGAAGGGGGUGUUUCUAGUUCU
rnacentral:lncRNA from 1 species